rnacentral:rRNA from 1 species
GACGAACGCUGGCGGCGUGCUUAACACAUGCAAGUCGAACGGAAAGGCCCUGCUUUUGUGGGGUGCUCGAGUGGCGAACGGGUGAGUAACACGUGAGUAACCUGCCCUUGACUUUGGGAUAACUUCAGGAAACUGGGGCUAAUACCGGAUAGGAGCUCCUGCUGCAUGGUGGGGGUUGGAAAGUUUCGGCGGUUGGGGAUGGACUCGCGGCUUAUCAGCUUGUUGGUGGGGUAGUGGCUUACCAAGGCUUUGACGGGUAGCCGGCCUGAGAGGGUGACCGGCCACAUGGGGACGGAGAUACGGCCCAGACCCCUACGGGGGGAAGGGGGGGGGAAUUUUGCACAAGGGGCGGAAGCCUGAUGCAGCAACGCCGGGUGGGGGAUGACGGCCUUCGGGUGGAAAACCGCUUUCCCCUGUGACGAAGGGUGGGUGACGGUAAUGGGUAAAGAAGCACCGGCUAACUACGU